GGCCUGCGAGGUCUGGCUCAUCUUCGGUAGAGGCGGGCCACCACCUGUCGCUGAUCUGUCUAUCUUUCGCAAGCAUAUGUCUGUCUUAGCGUGUUUCAUCUACAGUACAGGACAGUAGUCAGUACACAGGCACAGUAAAUAAAAAGGUCCGAGGACCGCUGCCGCAGGCAUUUACACUGUUUACUAACGACAACCACAUCUGGUUGACCUUUUGGGCGGCCCCCGGACCAGCGGAAGCGUGGCUACUUCGCAUGGUGCUAGCAUUUUCCUUCAUGAAGUCGACAAUUAUAUCAACUUCUCUAGAAGUGAACAUUUUUGACUUAGUGCGUUUUGCUUCCUCCGCCAUGUUUGUUAUGAUCUUCUGCUGACAGUUGUGCGCGAAAAUGACGUCAUACGCGUG